rnacentral:rRNA from 1 species
CCUACGGGAGGCAGCAGUGAGGAAUAUUGGUCAAUGGGCGCUAGCCUGAACCAGCCAAGUAGCGUGCAGGAUGACUGCCCUAUGGGUUGUAAACUUCUUUUAUGUGGGGAUAAAGUGCAGUAUGUAUACUGCUUUGUAUGUACCUUAUGAAUAAGGAUCGGCUAAUUCCGUGCCAGCAGCCGCGGUAAUACGGAGGAUCCGGGCGUUAUCCGGAUUUAUUGGGUUUAAAGGGAGCGUAGGCGGGUUGUUAAGUCUGUCGUGAAAUGUUGUGGCUCAACCGUAGAAUUGCAGUGGUUACUGGCAUCCUUGAGUACAGUGAAGGUAUGCGGAAUUCGUGGUGUAGCGGUGAAAUGCUUAGAUAUCACGAAGAACUCCGAUUGCGAAGGCAGCAUACUGGAGUGCAACUGACGCUGAAGCUCGAAAGUGCGGGUAUCAAACAGGAUUAGAUACCCUUGUAGUC